UACGUAGGUGGCAAGCGUUGUCCGGAUUUACUGGGCGUAAAGGGCGUGCAGGCGGUCUGUUAAGUGCAGGGUGAAAGCUCCCGGCUCAACUGGGAGAGGUCCUUGCAUACUGGCGGACUUGAGGGGGGUAGAGGAAAGUGGAAUUCCCGGUGUAGUGGUGAUAUGCGUAGAUAUCGGGAGGAACACCUGUGGCGAAAGCGGCUCACUGGACCACAACUGACGCUGAGGCGCGAAAGCUAGGGGAGCAAACAGG
rnacentral:rRNA from 1 species